UUUCCAUCUGUUCCUGCGAGACGUUAAACAGGCCGAGUCCUUCCUCAACAACCAGGAGUCGGCCCUCGCUCACGUGGAGCUGCCCACCACGGUGGAAACAGUUGAAGCCUCCAUAAAGAAACACAAGGACUUCACCACCACCAUGGAGCUGAACCUGCACAGGAUCAAAGCUGUGAUCGAGGCUGGAGAGAGUCUGAUCAGCCAGAGUAACAUCUACUCUGACCGCAUCAAGGAACGCAUCGACACCCUCGCCAACCGGGGAAACCAGAACAGAGAGCAGGCCCAGCAGUGGCUGGAAAAACUGAA